GCCCUUGAUCCUAGCAUUAGGGGCAGAGAUAGGGGUCUCUCUGAGUUUGAGGCCAGCCUGGUCUACAGAGUGAAUUCCAGGACAGCCAGGGCUACACAGAGAAACCCUGCCUAUAAAAAAUAAAGAAAAUACUGCUGGCUGCUAGCUCCUUUUUCAGUUGUUCAGCACAGUGAACUGGUCUAGGGGAGCUACUUUCCGAGUUCAUAGCAUUUAAUAUUUGCCGUGAGGGGGAAAUGUACUAGGAGCCCAGGCGAGUAAGAAAGUAGAAUGCGUAGUCCCAGUAAUGGAUUGUGGUUUUCAUGUCCUCCUGCUCAGUGAUACUGCUGUGUAUGGGGUUUGUAGCCCACAAGGUUGUAGCAAAGUCCAUCUUCUCAGGAGUCACAGUCUAGGGUGAGGUGGGGAUGGUCAUUAUUGGCUUCUAACAGUGUUGUAUAUUAAUCUGGAGUUGCUGGAGAUGUAGCCCAAUGGGAGAACAUUUGCUUAGCCUGUACAAAGGACUCUCCCCAUCCCUGGUAAGUAAAACCCCACAUCCUCACAAGAGAGCCUGUGUGGUGGUAGUGGCACUCCCCUGAGAAGGAUGAGAUUUGGUACUUACAGGCUGCAUCUUAGAGCUGGAACACCUUGGGUGAAUGACCGAUUUCCGUUCCUGCCUGUGUCCUGGACUCGGAGAGGGUACUUGCUCUAGAACUCAAGCAGUUGUCUUAGCUCCUUAAGAUGCUGAUUGCUUAGUAUGUUAUAUAAUUUAUAACAUGUUAUAAUUUGAACAGUGGGGAGACUGAGGCAAGAGACUUCCUUUGAGUUUAAUGUCAGCUUGGGCUACAUAGCAGGAACCAGUUUAGUGAGAGUUCCUGAGUUCCUGGGUUGACCUCCCCCACUGCCCACAGAAAUAAAAGUUAGUAGUUGGCACACUGCCACCUUCUUACGCAGUGUCUGCUUCCCUGUGUUCUUUCCCUGUGCCCACUGUACCUUGUCCUUUCCUUCCAGCCUCCACCUCCUGGAUGCCCUCCCAACGCUGCUCAGCUUGCAGUCAUGCAGGGAGCCAACGUCCUUGUAACUCAACGCAAGGGAAACUUCUUCAUGGGUGGCUCAGAUGGUGGCUACACUAUUUGGUGAGGAGCUGUGGCCACUCCUGUGCCGGGGAAGACAUCACAUACUUCAGCACUUCUCACAAUGUAACUGCUUUAGUCAUAUUAACCUGAAGUUGCCGUUUAGACACAUGUUUUUGGGGUGUCUUUCUGGUGUCCAAACUUUGAGGCACUUUUCAAAUUUAAUAAGGAACCAUGUAAGGGUAGCAGUCCCUCCCUAAAGCAUUCUGAGGUAGGGAGGUGUCCAUUCUUCAAAUGAAUGUGAGGGAAGCGGCCCCAAGGCUCUUCCUUAAUUCCUCUGGAGUGAUACUGUGCCAUGCUGGUCUUUGCUUCUAGGAAUGAAACAUCAAAUUAGGUUUGGAGGGAACUUUGAUCUUCCUAAGAAUUAAAGUUGCCAAAUUAUUCUGAUUGGUCUUUAAUCUCUUUUAAGUCUCUGAUUUAUCUUACUUGUUAAUGAAACGCAUUAGCUGUCUGCCCUUUCCUUCCCAUCCUCUGCCCCGCCUGUCCUGUCCCCAGUCCUCCCAUCGAUGUCCAUGGAGUCAGUGGUGCAGGACCGAGA
rnacentral:lncRNA from 1 species